ACUUGCUCGAGCACUCAUUGUUGUCCAGAGCGCCAGUUAAACUUUGUCCUCCGUCGCAA
rnacentral:sRNA from 1 species